UACGAAGGGGGCUAGCGUUGCUCGGAAUCACUGGGCGUAAAGGGUGCGUAGGCGGGUCUUUAAGUCAGGGGUGAAAUCCUGGAGCUCAACACCAGAACUGCCUUUGAUACUGAAGAUCUUGAGUUCGGGAGAGGUGAGUGGAACUGCGAGUGUAGAGGUGAAAUUCGUAGAUAUUCGCAAGAACACCAGUGGCGAAGGCGGCUCACUGGCCCGAUACUGACGCUGAGGCACGAAAGCGUGGGGAGCAAACAGG
rnacentral:rRNA from 1 species